AUCUCUCUCUCUCUCUCCUCAUAUGUCACCCAUUAUUUUCUUUGUUUCUAUUUAUUUAAUGUUCAUAUUCUCUCUCUCUUUCUUUAUUUCUGCUCUUAUUUUAUUGUUCUUUCUUUCUCUUUAUUUCUUUCUUUCUUUCUUUCUUUUUAUCUGUUGAUUUAUUCAUUUAGUUAUACUCUUAUUCUCUCUCCCUAUUUAUUCCUUAAAUUUACUUCUGCUCUUAUUCUCUGUUGUUCUUUCUUUCUUUUUAUUUAUCUUUUGAUUUAUUAACUCUCUCUCUCUCUCUUUUUGUAUGUUUAUGUAUCUAUAUGUUUAUGUUCCUAUUCUUUCUUUCGUUCUUUCUUUCUGUCGUUUCUUUCUCCAUUUACCUGCCCUCUAAUCGUAAAUUGCCUGUAGUCAAAGCCCCGCCCACUUCCGCUUGCUGCUGCGUGCUGUUUACCAGCCCUUCCCGCGAGCGCCCCACCUGCACUCUAGUUCACUUCCGGUUAGAAUGGAGAAAAGAAGCCAAGCAGGUCCUAUGACGUGUCUAACUGACGUAGGAGGAAUCCUCGAAAUGGGGAAGCCCAUCGGAGAGCAUACACCGGACUACUGUCCUCCUCACCCACCGGAUGAAGGUCUUCCUCUCCACAUUGAAAGAAAUAUGGAAAGCAAGCAGGAAGUUCCAGUCCCACUCAGGAAAAGGCAGAGAGGAACAGGGCUCAAUCCAACACGGCUCAGAUACCGGCCAACGCUGUGUGCGCUGUCUGAUGGUUCUCCAAGCCUGGGACAUACGCCAUCUCACACUGGAGCAUGCUGGCCUGAGCGAACCUUUUCCCCUCCUUCAGGCUCCUUCAUCGACAGACGGUUCUUCUGUGGAUUUCCAGUUGAAUCGACCUUCCUUGCGUAACCUCUGCUUUUCAGCGGCUGCCAGAAAACGCAGGUAAAAAACACGAACACAAACGUUAGGAAGUCCACUACAAUAGAGGCCUUAUGUUGGAAAGUUGUGCUCAUUGCAGUACACGCACAAGUGCGUAAUUAGGAACACACUCUCGCACAGAGCAUGUUUGUGCACAAGUGGGAGGAGGCUUGGGGAUCAACCAGGCUUUUUUUUACCAGCUCCAGGGAGUUGUUGGAUUUCCUCCUUAUAUUCGCCUGCCACUGAUUGUGAUCCAAGGACAAAAGUCUUUGUGUCAAAUGGACAGAAUAAAGCAGCGCUUUUCUUUUCCUUUCUUUUUUUUUCUUUUUUCUUUUUUUUUUUGCAGCAUGGGGUUGGUUUCCUUUUAUCCUCUUAAAAAUGUGUUUAACCAGAAAUGAAUCUGGAAAUAUGCCCAAAGAAGAAAAAACAAUCAAGCAUUGUCAGUGUAAUUAAAUUGAUGUGUG
ensembl:lncRNA